CCCGGCCCCCCCCCCCGCCGCUCCUGAGGGGAAAUUCCCCAACGUAGGGCGAAAUACACAUCCCGGUCCCUUAGAGCUCCUUUCGGAGCAAGAAAAUCACUGUAAUAGAACAGCUGAAGGAAGUAAUAUAAGCUAGGGAAAAAAAAAAAAGAAGAUGAAAACAGCUCAAAACGAUGUGAGGCAACUACCAGGUUAGAACCAGAACCAUUGGUAUACUUCUCUCUUAAGGGAGUUUCUGGAAGUUUAUAGGAAGGAAGGCAAAGAAAAUGAAGCUAAAGGUGAGAGAAGACACUUAUCAAUCAAUCCAGUUUCAUCAGAAAAUGGGGCUUUUCCAGUACCUACCUAGGAAAACCAAGUCAUAUUUGCAUUCAGUUCUACAGCUGGCCAACAGAAGAGGGGAGGUGAAUAGCAAUGAAUACAUAGUUAAUAAUGCAACCUACAGAAAACACGUACUUCAGAAACAGGUAUGUCAAAAUCAUGCUUAAGGGAUGUCAUAUCAAUUAAAAUGGAUAUUAUGGACCCUAGAACUGUAGUGCAAUUGUAAAAGAGGUUUCAAAAUGAUCUACACUAGAUUUUCAAUGUUUCAG